UUUCACUGAGACCAGAGGAUCAAGAUCCGGCUCCGUGACACUACUGAUCUACUUGAUCAGAGACAACAGGUACGACUGGACAAUAACAACAUCCAAUUUAACCAGGUUUCCAGUGAACAAAACACCCCCGAGACUGAAAAAGUCCAAAGACUGAAGACAACUGCCAACCUACAAUAUAUCUGAUGUCGUUCUACCAACCAGAUUCUGUGUGCUUCUUCAGUAACUGUUUUGGAAAUCCCCCCUAAAGGUUGGCAGCCAUGUGGCAAUGAGACCUGAGCACCAGAAGGGGGCGCCACUACUGUGCGCACCGCAG